rnacentral:rRNA from 1 species
CCAAAGCAGCAUACCACCUUGCAUCCCACUGCUGGCUUGCUUCUGAAGCUAAGCAGGGUUGGUCUUGGUUGGUGUCUGGAUGGGAGACCAGAUGCUGCUAGAAGUGUUGUUGGA